rnacentral:tRNA from 1 species
UCAGGAUAGCUCAGUCCGGGAGAGCAGAGGACUGAAAAUUCUCGUGUCGCCAGUUCAAAUCUGGUUCCUG